GAUGAAGAACGCAGCGAAAUGCGAUAAGUAGUGUGAAUUGCAGAAUUCAGUGAAUCAUCGAAUCUUUGAACGCACAUUGCGCCCCCUGGUAUUCCGGGGGGCAUGCCUGUCCGAGCGUCAUUACAACCCUCAAGCUCAGCUUGGUGUUGGGCCCCGCCGCCCCGGCGGGCCCUAAAAUCAGUGGCGGUGCCGUCCGGCUCCGAGCGUAGUAAUUCUUCUCGCUCUGGAGGUCCGGUCGUGUGCUCGCCAGCAACCCCCAAUUUUUUUCAGGUUGACCUCGGAUCAGGUAGGGAUACCCGCUGAACUUAAGCAUAUCAAUAAGCGGAGGA
rnacentral:misc_RNA from 1 species